UUUUCCUCCAUCAGUUUGUGGGCUGUGAUGCUCUGUGUUUCCAUGGUAACAGGAUACCUAAUAGGACUGUUUACCCGUUUCAGUGUCCUGUUACCGUCCAACUGAAGAACAGACAGAUCAGAAUUAAUUACAGCAACUGGGACAGAACUAGCUUUCAUUUUCUCUUGUUCUGUUAGACACCUGAUCAGACCUCUGGUGGGUCAAGCUGUUCUGGUGAAGUUGUGGCUGUUGUAGGUUAAAAAUGACAGAACCUAAAUUCUGCAGAUUUAGGAACUCAGGUGGAGACCAGUUAGCUCUCCACUUGUCUGUGGACUGGUGGGACUCACUGGGUGUCGGGUUCUGGGAGCUUGUCUGUUUUCUGCUUGCUGCUAACCUUAUUCGUCCAGCAGAGGGUGUCGAGCUACAGGAGGAAUGUGGACAGGUGUUUCCCAUCUUCUGAUCGCCGUGUAUGCUACUUAAGCCGUGGCUGCCUGCUACUCGUCGCCUGAGUGUUGAGCCUAUGUGGUAAUCAUCUCGAGCCAGUUUUUGGGUUUUGAUCUGCUCUGUUCCUUUCUGACAUUUGUGUUUUUGCCUUAGGUAUCAGUAACCUUGAUGUCCAUCGAUCCCUUAACUAUUCCUCGAGCGCUUGGAGCCUUUUGGAUUACCUGUCUGGAAUUCUACGUACACUCCUGGACUGAGCAAUCUUCACCUUUUACUGGAUCUGUGCUACAUUACGACAAGCGUACUUCUCCUGCAGACCUGUCCACCCUCCUAUGUAACUCCUGCUUCACCUUCCGCUCGCUUUCCACAGAAAGCACGUUUCGCUGUGAGCUCUACUUCAGUUCUCCUAAACCCUGUCUCCCCUGGCGGAUUCUGUUCACUCUCUAUUGGAGAGACCAGAUCCCUGUCAUCCCUGUGUAGAAUUUAGAAAUAAUAAACUUCUUUUCACCGUU